rnacentral:rRNA from 1 species
UACGGAGGGUGCAAGCGUUAUCCGGAUUCACUGGGUUUAAAAGGGUGCGUAGGUGGGCAGGUAAGUCAGUGGUGAAAUCUCCGGGCUUAACCCGGAAACUGCCGUUGAUACUAUCUGUCUUGAAUAUCGUGGAGAUGAGCGGAAUAUGUCAUGUAGCGGUGAAAUGCUUAGAUAUGACAUAGAACACCGAUUGCGAAGGCAGCUCGCUAAACUUAUAUUGACGCUGAGGCACGAAAGCGUGGGGAUCAAACAGG